AACGAACGCUGGCGGCAUGCCUAACACAUGCAAGUCGAACGAGACCUUCGGGUCUAGUGGCGCACGGGUGCGUAACGCGUGGGAACCUGCCCUUAGGUUCGGAAUAACUCCCCGAAAGGGGUGCUAAUACCGGAUAAUGUCUUCGGACCAAAGAUUUAUCGCCUUGGGAUGGGCCCGCGUUGGAUUAGCUAGUUGGUAGGGUAAAAGCCUACCAAGGCGACGAUCCAUAGCUGGUCUGAGAGGAUGAUCAGCCACACUGGGACUGAGACACGGCCCAGACUCCUACGGGAAGCAGCAGUGGGGAAUAUUGGACAAUGGGCGAAAGCCUGAUCCAGCAAUGCCGCGUGAGUGAUGAAGGCCUUAGGGUUGUAAAGCUCUUUUACCCGGGAUGAUAAUGACAGUACCGGGAGAAUAAGCUCCGGCUAACUCCGUG
rnacentral:rRNA from 1 species